rnacentral:rRNA from 1 species
AUACGGAGGGUGCGAGCGUUGUUCGGAAUUAUUGGGCGUAAAGCGCGUGUAGGCGGUUUGUUAAGUCUGAUGUGAAAGCCCCGGGCUCAACCUGGGAAGUGCAUUGGAUACUGGCAGACUUGAAUACGGGAGAGGGCAGUGGAAUUCCUGGUGUAGGAGUGAAAUCCGUAGAUAUCAGGAGGAACACCAGUGGCGAAGGCGACUUUCUGGACGAUGUCUGACGCUGAGGCGCGAAAGCUAGGGGAGC